GUCAGCCAAUUUAUUGAUUGUGUUUAACUUUAGAAUGUGAGUUUUGUCACAAAACUUUUGUGCAUUGAAAGGAAUAGCGAAGAGUUUUCAGUGAAAAAACUGAAAUAAUAAAAACUAGUUAGGGUGAUUGUGUUGUAUGUGUGGCCUUUAUAGAUACAUAUAAUGUGACAUACUCAUGUGUGGUCGCAGAAGUUGAAAUUUAUAUAGUACACCUUUACAACAAAAACAAGCAAGAGGUUAAGUGAUAAGAGAUGACACGCCAUGCAAGAAACUGCACUGCGGGAGCAGUCUACACGUAUCAUGAAAAGAAGAAAGAUGCUCAGGCAUCAGGUUAUGGAACAAACACUCAGAGGGUGGGAAAGGAUUCUAUCAAAGAUUUUGAUUGCUGUUCCCUGACAUUGCAGCCUUGCAGAGACCCUGUUAUUACGCCAGAUGGGUAUUUGUUCGAUAAGGAAGCAAUUUUGGAAUACAUAAUAACAAAGAAAAAUGAAUACAGCAGGAAACUGAAAGAAUAUGAAAAGCAGAAGAAAAAAGAAGAGAUUGAAUUAGCAGAAAUUGCAGCAGCAGAGAAAGAUUCGAAACUUAAUAGUUUCAUAAAAACUGAGAAGAAUAUAGUCAGCACACCAGUGACUGCAUUCAAAUCUGAUACAAAAAACAAUGACAAGCCGUCAGUGUCCAACAUGACAGAAGGACGUGACAAACACCUACCAAGUUUUUGGAUACCUUCAAAGACUCCAGAAGCCAAAGAAACCACAUUAAAGAAGCCCGAUAAAACUAUUUACUGCCCUAUAAGUGGCAAGCCACUGAGGGUCAAGGACCUCAUUAACGUAAAAUUUAAAGAAGUGAAUGAUCCUGAUGACAAGAAACCACUUGUUGUCAAAAAAAGUCGAUAUAUGUGUGCUGUUACUCAUGAUGUCCUGAGUAAUUCUGUCCCUUGUGCUGUUAUUAGAACAACGGGAGAUGUGGUAACAAUGGAAUGUGUUGAGAAGAUCAUUAAGAAAGACUGGCUUCACCCACUGACCAAUGAAAAACUCACAGAAAAGGAUAUUAUUCCAAUGCAACGGGGUGGAACAGGAUAUUCUAUUACUAAUGAUAAACUGCAAGGGAAGCACGAACGACCAGUCUUACAGGCAUAAGGAAAGCUUGAUUUUGUACAUAUUUUCUAUUUUGGUGAAGAAGCCCAAUGGUGAUUCUUUAAACCAUGUUUAAAAUAGACAUGUUCAAAGUUUUUUUUUUUUUUUUUUUCUUUUUGAAGCAGUGGUUUUCUAAAUGUUACAGGACAUCAGAAGGCAGAUCCAGCACACCGCCAUUCUGUUGUUGAACGUCCCAUGAGCGAUGCAAGUAAUAAUUUUUGUAUGUUAAUUAGUUGAUAGCAACUAGUGUUUUGAAAAAUAAAUUUGUGGUAAAGCCAUUAGUUUUACCAAACGAAAAAUUUAGAGUAGAUUGAACUGAAAUAUAUUAGCCUUUAUACAAAAUAAUUGUAUGUGUAUGUAAUAAAAAUGGUUGUUAAAAUUA